rnacentral:rRNA from 1 species
UACGUAGGGGGCUAGCGUUGUCCGGAAUCAUUGGGCGUAAAAAGCGUGUAGGCGGCCCGGUAAGUCCGCUGUGAAAGUCCAGGGCUCAACCCUGGGAUGCCGGUGGAUACUGUCGGGCUCGAGUCCGGAAGAGGCGAGUGGAAUUCCUGGUGUAGCGGUGAAAUGCGCAGAUAUCAGGAGGAACACCGGUGGCGAAGGCGGGACUCUGGGCCGAUACUGACGCUGAGGAGCGAAAGCAUGGGGAGCGAACAGG